CCCCCUCAGACAUGGUGUAGCUAUGGAGGGAAUAGCUUCCUGCAGGCUCCGUGUCUCUUUGCUGCGCAGCCAACCAGACCUGUAAUUGGACCGUUUGCUUUGAGUCACCAAUUCUAACACGGUCAUCUGAUACCUCCUGGUAAAUGCUCAUUUCCAUCCCCCAUGGCUUGCUCAUCUCACUGCAAACUGACCUUCUCUGCGGGAGGAUCGGUGUUGUGUUAGCACAGCACCAUCACUGUGUGUGGCUCAGAUCAGUGCUGUUCUCUGUUUCUCUGAGAGCCACGGGCUCGGACACAGUUCCUGUUUUUUGGGGUGGGUGAUGGCAGAGGUCUGCAUGGAGUGUGUGCUCUGCUGGGUGCCAGCAAGGUGCACGUGGCCUGGUUGUGGCUUCUCACUGCUUGGCUGCACCGGGAGAGAGAAUCUUCACAGCGCUUGUGUUUUCCCACACCUGGAAAUCGGGGACCUGGCUUCCUUGGUGUGUGCAUGCUGUGACAGAGGACAAUCAUUAUUCAAGCCAAGUAAGUCAGGUGUGAAAGCGGAACCAAGUGUGCUGGGAAUCAUCUCGCUGCGCGCAACAGAUUUCAGCCUUUGAAUUAAGCACCAGUUCACUCUCAGUGCUACAGGGGAUAAAGAGAAUAUUCCAGUCCCUGCAUCCAUCACAGCUGCUCUGCCAAGCAAAGUUAACAAGUAAACAGUAAUCGGCCACAAUUAUUGCCCAUUACAUGCUCCCUUCACCUGAGAUCACACAACAAAGCACAAGUGUGGAGCCACAGGAGGAGCUGGGUGGCAAGGAGCUGUCAAGAUGAAAUAACAGCAAAAAGACCUGUCAAACGCUGCCUCUGUGAAAGACCUAAAUCCUCUCCUGAUGGCCCCUUGGUGCAGUGUACAAGAGCUACUUCUGUGUAAUUAUAAAUUGUCUGCAGGGCUUAUCUGAGAGGUUCAGGGUUGACAUUACAAUAAUAGGGUGGGUGAGCUUUAUUUAAGGGAUAAUGUUCCUGGCAGUGGUGUAUACAUGGCAAUAAAUGAGUGUGGCAAAUGAUUAACGGCA
rnacentral:lncRNA from 1 species